UACGUAGGCAGCGAGCGUUGUUCGGAAUUACUGGGCGUAAAGAGUGUGUAGGCGGUGUUCCCAGUCUGUUGUGAAAUCUCCCGGCUUAACUGGGAGGGUGCAGCGGAAACUAGAAUGCUAGAGGGUGGGAGAGGUAAGCGGAAUUCCUGGUGUAGCGGUGAAAUGCGUAGAUAUCAGGAGGAACACCUGUGGUGUAGACAGCUAACUACAGGGAUAUUGACACUGAGGCUCGAAAGCGUGGGGAUCAAACAGG
rnacentral:rRNA from 1 species